AAAUUGAAGAGUUUGAUCAUGGCUCAGAUUGAACGCUGGCGGCAGGCCUAACACAUGCAAGUCGAACGGUAACAGGAAGCAGCUUACUGUUUCGCUGACGAGUGGCGGACGGGUGAGUAAUGUCUGGGAAACUGCCUGAUGGAGGGGGAUAACUACUGGAAACGGUAGCUAAUACCGCAUAACGUCGCAAGACCAAAGAGGGGGACCUUCGGGCCUCUUG
rnacentral:rRNA from 1 species